UUUUGAUUUGAUCUUAGAUCUAGGUUGAGGGUACGUGAUUGGACCUUAGACAAGUGAUUUGAGUUUCCGGAUUGUCCCUAAACAAGUUCCCUAAGCAGAAGGAAAGUCGGGAAUGAUGUUGGAAAAAUUUCGUUCAAAUACUGGGGGUAUUUUUACUCCACCUGUCUUUUGGUUUUAGCCCACUUGAGUUCCCAAAACUCAAUUUCUAGGCUCUGGAAUAACCGAUGGGAUACAUAGCCCACCGGUCUUCUGGUUUUAGCCCACCUGAGUUCCCAGAACUCAGUUUCUAGACUCUGGAGUAACUGACAGGCUGAAGCAGCCCACAGUCUUUGGCUCUAGCUCACCUGUCUUUCAAGAAUUCCCAGAAUUAGCCCAAAUUUGAUGGGUUACCCCCAUUUAUGAUUCUAAACCCAAUAUUAGUGUUCAAACAUGAUGAUUUUGACCUCAAAAUAGUGAAAUGAUAAACCAUUAUGUCUAUGAUAGGUUACACUCAACAUACAAGUACCCACAUAUUGGAUCUUUUUCGUACUGGGUACAAGCACCGUGUACAUAUACAAGUGAUUUUGCAAGUUACCCGCCUGGUGAUUAGGAGCUGGGCUCCACUGUAGAGUUUCCAUCUGAGGACUGGUGGGUCCCUGAUGAGUUCGAGCACGAUGUCGAUUGCACGUGCGAGGAUUAUGCUGCAUGGCAACUGUGACUUCUGAGUGAUUCUUUUUUAUUCUUUUGAUGUACUCCCUUUUGUUACUUGAUGCUUAAAUUAUUAUGUUUUUGUAUAUAUAUCAUGCCUUCGGGCCUAAAUGUAUGUAACUUUUAUAACUCAAUUUUGGUAUCAUUUCACCUUCGCAAGUUGUAAUCCAUAUAGAAAACUCCUGGUGCUUGCUUCAAUAGAGUUUCCUGUCAUCAAAUAGUUUACAGACAA